rnacentral:miRNA from 1 species
AGUGGGGCCCGGAGGCGGCGGAG